rnacentral:rRNA from 1 species
CCUACGGGCGGCAGCAGUGAGGGAUAUUGGUCAAUGGGGGAAACCCUGAACCAGCAACGCCGCGUGAGGGAAGACGGUUUUCGGAUUUUAAACCUCUGUCCUCUGUGAAGAUAAUUGCGUUAGCAGAGGAGGAAUCUACGUCUAACUACGUGCCAGCCGACGCGGUAAUACGGAGGGAGCAGGAGUGGUCCGGAUUUACUGGGUGUAAAGGGUGCGUAGGCGGCCCUGCAAGUCCGAAGUGAAAUCCAUGGGCUUAACCCGUGAACUGCUUUGGAAACUGUAGUGCUUGAGUGCAGUAGAGGUAGGCGGAAUUCCCGGUGUAGCGGUGAAAUGCGUAGAGAUCGCGAGGAACACCAGUUGCGAAGGCGGCAUGCUGGGGCUUAACUGACGCUGAAGCACGAAAGCGUGGGUAGCAAACAGGAUUAGAUACCCGAGUAGUC